GUGGUGCUGGUCGGCCUGGUCGGCGUCGCCAUCGGCUUCCGGUCGACGGACGCGACGGUGCUGGACUGGCUGGCCGCGUUCGGGCUGCUGGUGCUCUUC
rnacentral:tRNA from 1 species